UUCUUGGUUGUCCGACUUCCAUACAGUUCAAUUUUCUGUUAGUUCUGGUUGUUAUUCUGUUUAUAAAUUAUUGUUGUCCCUAUCUUGGUUGUGCAAGGAGGCACAGUGUGUCUAUCUAUGACUCCAUUGUGGCUGGAAGUCUCAUUAGAGUUCUUUAUAUAUUCU